CCUACGGGCGGCUGCAGUGGGGAAUAUUGCACAAUGGGCGCAAGCCUGAUGCAGCCAUGCCGCGUGUGUGAAGAAGGCCUUCGGGUUGUAAAGCACUUUCAGCGGGGAGGAAGGCGGUGAGGUUAAUAACCUCAUCGAUUGACGUUACCCGCAGGAGAAGCACCGGCUAACUCCGUGCCAGCAGCCGCGGUAAUACGGAGGGUGCAAGCGUUAAUCGGAAUUACUGGGCGUAAAGCGCACGCAGGCGGUCUGUCAAGUCGGAUGUGAAAUCCCCGGGCUCAACCUGGGAACUGCAUUCGAAACUGGCAGGCUGGAGUCUUGUAGAGGGGGGUAGAAUUCCAGGUGUAGCGGUGAAAUGCGUAGAGAUCUGGAGGAAUACCGGUGGCGAAGGCGGCCCCCUGGACAAAGACUGACGCUCAGGUGCGAAAGCGUGGGGAGCAAACAGGAUUAGAUACCCCUGUAGUC
rnacentral:rRNA from 1 species